AAGACGCAGGCCUCCUUAUUGUCCCCAGAAUUUCUAAGCAAACAGCUGAAGGCAGAGCUUUCUCCUAAAGAGCUCAAUAUUUAUGGAAUGAUCUGCCUAUCCAUGUGAGAGAGGCAGACUCAGUCUCGACCUUUAAGUCCGUGAACUUGGGCGCUGGCAUCAAUAUUUUCAACUAGCUCGGCUCGGUAUUAUAGCACCACCAAAUUCCAUUUAUUAAAAGGCUGAUUCAAUUCCUAUCGGGAGGGGUGGCCGGGAAACAGCCGAUGAAUCUUCCAAAGUCUGCAAAAAGCUCCAGUACUGUUUUGUAAAGUAAAAAUCAGGAUACACCGUAUUUGUUUGAGCUCCUCUGAAAAAACCUGUUACAGUCUAGCCUUGCAUAGUAUGCGACUGUCGUUGCGUAGUCUGCCACUGUCGUUGAGGAAGAAUAUGAACACCAUGAUCAUGGUCAAGUAGAGGAUGGUAGUGGUGGUGAUCUGUAGCUUGGAGAAGAAGUAGUGCACACCGAAGACUCACAAGACAUCUCACCCAUUGAGCAUGAUUGGGAUGGUCGGAAUUGAUGUGCACGACAGUGGGUUCGAGUUCCCACCAAUAUCCAACAACUUCGCAAAACCAUCGAAGAGGAGCAGGACAACAUUCCACAGGCCUCAAUCAACAACGUGAUCAACUCUAUGCUAAGGAGAUGUGUCCCUCUGUAUGAGGCAAAUGGUGGUCACACCAGAUACUGACUGGUUUAAUGAUCUACACCCCUAUCUUUAUUUAAAAAGCAUCACGUUGUUGUUGUAGUAGAAGAGUACAGAGAUGGGACUGAGCUUGGUGGGUGCGCAGCACGCUUUGGGAACCUCAUCUGGCUUCAAAAGGUGAACCUGCCAUGGAAAAAGGAACCUGAAUUUGCUGUUCAACAACAACAACCUUGACUGAUUUUUGAGACCUGAGAUUGAAACAUCGACUGGAAAAUGCCCGGGUGCUUUUCAACAUUGACGGAGAGAGUGCGAGGACGUCGCGGCCUACUGCGUCGACAGGUUGUUCAAAUUCAUUUGUGGCUUGUUUUUCUUGUCUUUUUCCGUUUUGCAGGGUUCGCGAUCGUCUGGAGGUGGACAGCGACAGCGACUUCGAAGAUGAAUCAACUGUACUGGAUGAGGUCCAAUUGGAUGUGCCACUGCUGCCAGUUAUCCUUCAUGUCCAGGAUGCUGCUAUCAUCCUUGAGGAUGUGCCGACUUUCCUUGAGGAGGCCACUGGUAAUUGGCAGCUGAUACUGAUUAGGUUCAGCCCCCUGUACUGUGGGCCUGUUGUGAUCAGGAACAAUGCCGGUCCGGUGGCUAAAGCCUGGAGGACUUUCCAGUUCAUCAGCCCCAUUAUCACCUACAUGCGUGGGGGAUCCCAGCAGGUGGUGGUGAGGAUGCACCAUGUGAGUAGGGUUCGAGGCCUGGAGACUCAACUGGUGUGGGCCAUCUCCAAGGAGACAGCCAGGCUUAGUCCAGAGGGCAUCCCCUACUGUGCCACCAAGGUGCAGUCCGUCACUUGGAUCCAGUAUGUGGCUGGCAGGGUGACCCAGUAUGCAUCUCACCUCGGCCAGGAGACGUCUGUGGACGUGACGCUUGGCUGCUACCAGCAGACUGAUGUCUCGGUGGUGUACGCUACUCUCCACAUGGGGCUGGAUGGGCUGCUCUCCUCCUCGGCGUGGUCGGAGGCUGCCUCCGUCUCUACGCCCACCAAUCAGCAGUUCACUGAGCCAGAGCCUGAGGGCCACAACUGCUAUGAGGGCUGGGAGGAGGACCUGCUGCCUGAGGAGAGGGAGGUUCCUCUGCUAAACCUCUACCUUACCACCAAGAGAGUGGAGGACAUCGCCCUGAGGCUUGUCUCCCUGCGCCAGGCCUUCACUACCCUGCUUGGUUCCACCCUGAGCAGGAACCAUCUGUUUGUGGCAGGAAAGGUCCUAAUGGGCGCACUGGUUCAGGCCCACCACAUGGACGAGGCCGAAUUCAUCCGUGCCUAUAACGACUUUGUGGACUACCUGAGUGACCCCUCCAAGCAGAUUGACAUUGAGAGGGAGCUGGCUGAGGCAAAGAUCCAUCAUGUUAACCUGAUAGAUGUCCUCUUUGAACUGGUGAUGUUUGGGAUGAUGACAGCUCAGAAGUCCAUGAUGGUGCACCCUGGUGGGUUCAUGGAGCGUCUGUACGCUCUCCUGUACUCCUUCCUGCCCGCUGCUGCCAGCAUUGAGCCAAAGGCGAGAGAUACCUGCUGCUGCUCAAUGAUUCUUAUGACACUUUGCCACCUAACAGGGAUCUAGACACUAAUGCACUACAUUACUUUGCACUGAAUUUUACAUUUUGAAAUAAAAUAACUAGUAGUUCAAAG
rnacentral:lncRNA from 1 species